rnacentral:tRNA from 1 species
AGUGUAGCUUAGUGGUAAAGCAUGGUCUUAGCAUGAGCAAGGACCUAGGUUCAAUACCCAGCACU